UGGCGGACGGGUGAGUAACGCGUGGGUAACCUGCCUCAUACAGGGGGAUAACGGUUAGAAAUGACUGCUAAUACCGCAUAAGCGCACAGUACCGCAUGGUACGGUGUGAAAAACUCCGGUGGUAUGAGAUGGACCCGCGUCUGAUUAGCUGGUUGGUGAGGUAACGGCCCACCAAGGCGACGAUCGGUAGCCGGACUGAGAGGUUGAACGGCCACAUUGGGACUGAGACACGGCCCAG
rnacentral:rRNA from 1 species